CUGCUUUCCAGGGGUGAGCAAGCCCCAGACGGUAUCUCCUGGAUGCCAGUGAGCGGCUGACAGCUGAAGCUCCCUGGACACUCAAGGCUCUUGUGGUGACAGGAUUUCUGCGAUGUAUGGUCCCUGGAGAAGCACCAAAGGGUUGGGCAUGUGGCCUGCCUGAGGUAGGUACUCUCUCAAUGCACCAAGAAGCUGAGAGAGCCAGAAAAAGGAAACAGAGGGAAGAGUGGUGGGUAGUUCAUCUAUCAGGGCUUUAUAGAAGGUAUUUUAUUCAAUCUUCGAAACAACUCUAGAAGGCAGGUUUUCUUCUCCCCUGUUCUAUAG
rnacentral:lncRNA from 1 species